rnacentral:rRNA from 1 species
AACGAACGCUGGCGGCGUGCUUAACACACGCAAGUCGAACGCGAAAGGGACUUCGGUCCUGAGUAAAGUGGCGCACGGGUGAGUAACGCGUAGAUAACCUGUCUUCAUGUCUGGAAUAAUACGCCGAAAGGGGUACUAAUACCGGAUAUUCUUGCUUUUCAUAAGUUAUGCAAGCAAAGGUGGCCUCUGCAUAUGCUACUGCAUGAAGAGGGGUCUGCGUACCAUUAGCUAGUAGGUGGGGUAAUGGCCUACCUAGGCGACGAUGGUUAGCGGGUCUGAGAGGAUGAUCCGCCACACUGGCACUGGAACACGGGCCAGACUCCUACGGGAGGCAGCAGUGAGGAAUAUUGCGCAAUGGGGGAAACCCUGACGCAGCGACGCCGCGUGAGUGAAGGAAGGCCUUCGGGUCGUAAAGCUCUGUCAAGAGGAAAGAAGUGUACAAUGGCUAAUACCUGUUGUAUUUGACGGUACCUCUAAAGGAAGCACCGGCUAACUCCGUGCCAGCCGCAGC